UGGGGAAUAUUGGACAAUGGGCGAAAGCCUGAUCCAGCCAUGCCGCGUGUGUGAAGAAGGUCUUCGGAUUGUAAAGCACUUUAAGUUGGGAGGAAGGGCAGUAAGCGAAUACCUUGCUGUUUUGACGUUACCGACAGAAUAAGCACCGGCUAACUCUGUGCCAGCAGCCGCGGUAAUACAGAGGGUGCAAGCGUUAAUCGGAAUUACUGGGCGUAAAGCGCGCGUAGGUGGUUCGUUAAGUUGAAUGUGAAAGCCCCGGGCUCAACCUGGGAACUGCAUCCAAAACUGGCGGGCUAGAGUAGGGCAGAGGGUGGUGGAAUUUCCUGUGUAGCGGUGAAAUGCGUAGAUAUAGGAAGGAACACCAGUGGCGAAGACGGCCACCUGGGCUCAUACUGACACUGAGGUGCGAAAGCGUGGGGAGCAAACAGG
rnacentral:rRNA from 1 species